GCCAGAAGCUGAAAAGGUGGCUAAAACUGUAUCCUAACAGCACCCACAAAGAGCUCAUUGCCAUGUCAGACUACCUUUGGUUUGAAGGAAUACCUUUCCCUAUUAUAAAGUAUGAAAAAGAAAUAAUUGAAAAAUCUUGUGAUAAGUUUGUGUUCAGAGAUGAAGACAUAGUCAUCCUGACUUACCCUAAAUCAGGAACUAACUGGAUGAAGGAGAUUGUCUGCUUGAUUCAGACCAAGGGGGAUCCCAGUUGGAUCCAAUCUGUGCCUAUCUGGGACCGCUCACCCUGGAUAGAGAGUCAAAGAGGAUAUCAACUAUUAAUCAAUAAGGAAGGACCACGCCUCAUCAGCUCCCACCUUCCCUUCCAUUUUUUCCCCAAGUCUUUCUUCAGUUCCAAGGCCAAGAUAAUCUAUGUCAUCAGAAAUCCCAGAGAUGUUCUUGUGUCUGGUUAUUUUUUCUGGAGAAAGACAAAAUAUGUUAAGAUUCCAGAGUCACUGACAACUUAUUUUGAAUGGUUCCUCAAAGGAAAUGUGGCAUAUGGAUCAUGGUUUGAGCACACCCGUGCCUGGCUAUCCAUGAGAGAAAGAGACAACUUCCUGCUAUUGAGCUAUGAAGACAUAAAAAAGGACACAAAGAGCACCAUAAAGAAGAUUUGUGACUUCCUAGGAAAAAAAUUAGAGCCAAAUGAGCUGGAUAUGGUCCUCCAGUAUAGUUCCUUCCAAGCCAUGAAGGAAAAUAAAAUGUCCAAUUUCAGUCUCAUUACAAAAGAUGCGGCUCAUAAUGGUUUGGAUAUCUUGAGAAAAGGUCUACAUGCAUCACUAUCAUGCUGGGUUACAGCUCAAGGACUAGUUUUUUCUCAUCAGCAAAAUGGAAACAAGGCCUGUAUUUUCCUCACUCAUUAAUGAAUGCUUUCAAAAAUUCCACACUGAGUAUAUUCUGUGUGUCUGAUAUGAUUUGAUGAAUGAAUCCUUUGCCGAUGAAAGAAACAUUUUGCUUUUUAAAUAUAUUAGAUACAUAUUUCAGGCAUCUUUACAAAAAUGAAAUUCAUCAAUGUGUCACAUUUAUGAAAUAAAAUACAACAAGGAUGUGGCCUGCAGAGUUCUACAUGGAAGGAAAAUUGGAAAAGGUGGUCACAUGGGCAUAAAAUAGGAAACAAAGAAAAAAGCAUGACUGGGGACUGGAAGAAUCACUUUACAGUAGCCCAAGCUGAAGCCUUUGAUAAAGUAUUCCAGGAGAAAAUGGCUGGUUUCCCUCCAGGGCUGUUUCCAUGGGAAUAAAUACUUAAAACUGAAUAUAUAUAUAUAU